GCAUGAAGUCAGCUGGCCUGCUCUUGACAGGGAGCGUUUCACUUGUAAUUAGCUGGGUGGUUUUUUUUUUUUUUUUUUUUUUUUUAAGUUCUGCCUAAACAGUGGUGGGGUGUGAGUGAGCCCGUUCCCUUGGAGCUGCCCCACAGCAGUAGCGGAGAUUUGACUCCAUGAAAGUACAUUAUCGCAAUGUUGGCUUUGUGUGUAAGCAUUGUAUGUGUAUGUAAAAAUGUGGAGACUUCCUCAAUAAAGAGAUGUCCUUUUUGUACAUUUGCACUUGUGACAGACAAAGGAAUGAGGAAAAUGGAGUCCAAUCCUCAUCUAUAUGACUGGAGCAAGGACUUGAAAUGAGAACCCACAAGGGCUUAUUGACUUCCCACCCUGAGACUGGAUCUUGGAGCAACCAACCUGCGGGCAAAUUGGAAUCUACAAAGCCACACGCUUCUCCAGGUAGGGAAGGAUGGAGGAAGAGAGGCCAAGUCUCCCUCCUUGAGAUCUUUGAUGGGUCAGCACCCCCCAUUAAAGAAACUUAGAGGCCUGGCUCUUGUUUACCAGCCAGGUAGCUCACUCUGUCUCCCCAGGGAGUGCUAAGAGAUCAGACAAGAGGCCUGGUGUGUUCAGGGGAAAGUUCCCUCAUAGCAAUAACUAUUUAGAGUGGGGCAAACUUGUCCCUCGAAUGGUCCCCGUGUUUUCGUCAUAGUCAACCCAUAAUCAGUGUGGAUGUGGCCAUGCC